UUGUGGUCGUCCAACAUCAGCCUGAGAAUCAGAGAUUGUGUGUUUAUUGUCUUUGGUCUGAACACAAACUUACUUAGCAGACAGCAGAUGUGUGACGUGGUGAAAGUUGAGCUGCAGUUUUAGGAAGAACUUUAGUGUCGACUUUACUUCUGAUUUGACUCAGACUGUCCUGGUAUUUGACCAUCUUCUAGUUUUUACCCACAAAAUCCUGAAGUUUCUCAAUUUGAAGUCAGAAGAACAAACACACACAAAUGGGGGCGGAGCUCUGUUCAGGUGUUCCUGGAUGAGGAAAUGAGGAAGUUGAGAGUUUCCCUCUGUGUCACAACAGACGGAGCAGGUGGAGACGGAGGCUCCAACGUUCUUCUUCCUUUACGGUUUCUAUCAGGAAACAACCGAGCCCGGGUCCCCAGCAGCCCUGCUGUCCCACUAUGAUCACUCGCGUCCUGCCCAGAUCCCAGGUGAAGGCUGGAAGAAGGUGUGUGUGAGCUGAUCCAGUGGAUCCAGCAGCAUGGAUCAGU